GGAGGAGAGGGAUGGGAGGUGACCAUGAUAUGAUUGGGUACUGUAAGUUACCUCCCUUGCAUGGGAGAAAUGCAUAAAAGCAGACCUGUGAAUAAAGCUGAGAGCUGACUCCCAGACUGUGUCGUCUAGUCCUUGGGGAGGUGGAUUAUGCUGUGUUCCUGUGAUUUUGUAUGCUGAAUCUUUGUUCCCAGCGGAGAGCUAUUGGAUUAACCCCUGCUACUCCGCUACACUCCUAUUAAAGUAAUACUGCGUUUCAAACGUCAUGUGGUGUUAAACUAGCAUUAGGUACGUUCAGAUACAUUGGCUACCAAUCAAACACGUCCGCGUCAAUCACUACAAAUACCAUUCAGGUAAAAACCAUUAGCAUGUCAACUAAAAGAUACGGUAAACAAGAGUUUCUCGGUGAGUUUGAGUUUUUUCAGGUAUUCAAACAUUAAAUUUUUUUUCCUUUAUGUUCAUAUCAAAUAUCAAGGCCUCACUCUGCCUUCGUUAUGACUACCAAAUGCAAUUUGAAACCCUCAACAUUAACAAGGGGCUUGUCU